rnacentral:rRNA from 1 species
AACGCGAAGAACCUUACCCAGGCUUGACAUGCACCGGACAAUAGCAGAAAUGUUAUCUUCCUUCGGGACCGGUGCACAGGUGCUGCAUGGCUGUCGUCAGCUCGUGCCGUGAGGUGUUUGGUUAAGUCCAGCAACGAGCGCAACCCUUAUCAUUAUUUGCCAACACGUUAUGGUGGGAACUCUAAUGAGACUGCCUGGGUUAACCAGGAGGAAGGUGAGGAUGACGUCAAGUCCGCAUGGCCCUUAUGUCUGGGGCUACACACGUGCUACAAUGGUCGGUACAGAAGGCAGCAAAGCCGCGAGGUAGAGCAAAUCCCAAAAGCCGAUCUCAGUUCAGAUUGUAGUCUGCAACUCGACUACAUGAAGAUGGAAUUGCUAGUAAUGGCAGGUCAGCAACACUGCCGUGAAUACGUUCCCGGGCCUUGUACACACCGUAGAGAC